GGAAGAUUUGGAGGAUCAUCUGAAUACCCAUCCAACAGAGAUCCAUGAUUCAUGUAUUUCUCAAGACAGCCAUACACUAAAAUUAUAAGAUCAUAAGAAUAUUAAUUAUAUUCUACCAAUGCAAUACAAGGCAUUGAAAUGGAUGGCAUCUGAUCCUGCUUCAUGUGAUUCUUCAUUUAGCUCUGGACUCUUUACAUCAUUAAGGUUGUAAUGGUUUCCAGGUUAUGGCACUGGUAGAGGAUCGUGACUGCAAGUUGUCCAGGUUCUUGGUGUUUUGAACAAAGAAUUCGACAAAUCUCACAGCAAAGAAAAGAAAGAAUAAAGCAACAGAAGAACGAAAGCAGGAAUUUAUUGAAAACGAAAGCACACUGCACGCAGUGUGGGAGUGGACCUCAGCAGUGGCUCA
rnacentral:lncRNA from 10 species